AUUGAACGCUGGCGGCAUGCUUUACACAUGCAAGUCGAACGGUAACAGGCCGCAAGGUGCUGACGAGUGGCGAACGGGUGAGUAAUGCAUCGGAACGUGCCCAGUCGUGGGGGAUAACGCAGCGAAAGCUGCGCUAAUACCGCAUACGAUCUCUGGAUGAAAGCGGGGGACCGAAAGGCCUCGCGCGAUUGGAGCGGCCGAUGUCAGAUUAGGUAGUUGGUGGGGUAAAGGCUCACCAAGCCAACGAUCUGUAGCUGGUCUGAGAGGACGACCAGCCACACUGGGACUGGGACACGGCCCAGACUCCUACGGGAGGCAGCAGUGGGGAGUUUUGGACAAUGGGCGCAAGCCUGAUCCAGCAAUGCCGCGUGCAGGAAGAAGGCCUUCGGGUUGUAAACUGCUUUUGUACGGAACGAAACGGUCCUGGUUAAUACCUGGGGCUAAUGACGGUACCGUAAGAAUAAGCACCGGCUAACUACGUGCCAGCCGCCGCGGUAAAAC
rnacentral:rRNA from 1 species